rnacentral:rRNA from 1 species
GACGAACGCUGGCGGCGUGCUUAACACAUGCAAGUCGAACGGAGUGGCGAACGGGUGAGUAACACGUGGGUGAACUGCCUUGCACUUCGGGAUAAGCUUGGGAAACUGGGUCUUAUACCGGAUAGUGCAAGAUGAGCUCGCGGCGUAUCAGCUUGUUGGUGGGGUAAUGGCCUACCCAGGCGUCGACGGGUAGCCGGCCUGAGAGGGUGUACGGCCACAUUGGGACGGAGGUACGGCCCAGUGUCGUACGGGGGGCAGCAGUGGGGAAUAUUGCACAAUGGGGGGAAGUCUGAUGCAGCGACGCCGGGUGGGGGAUGAAGGCCUUCGGGUGGUAAACUCCUUUCGACUGGGACGCGGUACCUGUAUAAGAAGCACCGGCUAACUACGUGCCAGCAGCCGCGGUAAGAC